CCUACGGGAGGCAGCAGUGGGGAAUCUUGCGCAAUGGGCGAAAGCCUGACGCAGCCAUGCCGCGUGAAUGAUGAAGGUCUUAGGAUUGUAAAAUUCUUUCACCGGGGACGAUAAUGACGGUACCCGGAGAAGAAGCCCCGGCUAACUUCGUGCCAGCAGCCGCGGUAAUACGAAGGGGGCUAGCGUUGCUCGGAAUUACUGGGCGUAAAGGGAGCGUAGGCGGAUAGUUUAGUCAGAGGUGAAAGCCCAGGGCUCAACCUUGGAAUUGCCUUUGAUACUGGCUAUCUUGAGUGUGGGAGAGGUAUGUGGAACUCCGGGUGUAGAGGUGAAAUUCGUAGAUAUUCGGAAGAACACCAGUGGCGAAGGCGACAUACUGGCCCAUUACUGACGCUGAGGCUCGAAAGCGUGGGGAGCAAACAGGAUUAGAUACCCUGGUAGUCCACGCUGUAAACGAUGAGUGCUAGUUGUCGGCAUGCAUGCAUGUCGGUGACGCAGCUAACGCAUUAAGCACUCCGCCUGGGGAGUACGGUCGCAAGAUUAAAACUCAAAGGAAUUGACGG
rnacentral:rRNA from 1 species